UACGUAGGGUGCGAGCGUUGUCCGGAAUUAUUGGGCGUAAAGGGCUCGUAGGCGGUCUGUCGCGUCGGGAGUGAAAACUCAGGGCUUAACCCUGAGCCUGCUUCCGAUACGGGCAGACUAGAGGUAUGCAGGGGAGAACGGAAUUCCUGGUUUAGCGGUGAAAUGCGCAGAUAUCAGGAGGAACACCGGUGGCGAAGGCGGUUCUCUGGGCAUUACCUGACGCUGAGGAGCGAAAGUGUGGGGAGCGAACAGG
rnacentral:rRNA from 1 species